GAUGAACGCUAGCGGCAGGCCUAAUACGUGCAAGUCGAACGGUGUCUUCGGACAUAGUGGCGCACGGGUGCGUAACACGUAUGCAACCUACCUUACAUUGGGGGAUAGCCUUUCGAAAGGGAGAUUAAUACCGCAUAAGACAGUAGCUGGGCAUCCAGCAGCUGUUAAAGAUUUAUCGAUGUAAGCUGGGCAUGCGUCCAAUUAGCUAGUUGGUGAGGUAACGGCUCACCAAGGCAAUGAUUGGUAGGGGAACUGAGAGGUCAAUCCCCCACACUGACACUGAGAUACGGGCCAGACUCCUACGGGAGGCAGCAGUAGGGAAUAUUGGGCAAUGGACGCAAGUCUGACCCAGCCAUGCCGCGUGCAGGAUGAAGGCGCUAUGCGUUGUAAACUGCUUUUAUACAGGAAGAAACGACUCUUGCGAGAGGCAUUGACGGUACUGUAUGAAUAAGCACCGGCUAACUCCGUGCCAGCCGCCGCGGUAAUAC
rnacentral:rRNA from 1 species